GUGUGGUGUGUGAGAUUAACCUGGACGAGUGUGAGAGCGAACCCUGUCAGAACGGCGGCCCUGGGGCGGUCAUGACUGCGACGUCCCGCUGACCGGCUAUGUGCCUGACCCCUGCCAAAACAACGCCACCUGUGUGCCUUCACUGCUCAGAGACCUGCAUCAGCACACCUGCACAUGCCCUUCAGGCUUCCACAGUGACACCUGCCAAACAUCAGACACCUUCUCUGUGAAGAGCCAAAAACUCUACUCAAGUAAAAGUUAUCUGGUCAUCAAGGUCCCAACAUCCCAAGGGCUGAGCAUCCAGCUGAGGUUCAGGAUGAGCUUGCCGGAUCUAAUUCUCUUCCUCCGGGUGUAAUGUUAUUAAUGGGACGGAAGCCAAGAGCUCUUCUUCAUGCUGGAGCUAAUUGGUGGAGACCUGCACUCCGGAGCCGAAUCGGGAGACUUAAAGCUGACACAAAGUCCCAGUUAGUGUGGACGAGAGACUGAUUCUGACCUCGCUAUCAGACGACCUGACCAGAGCUGAGGAUGGAGGACACAACCAGCUUCUGUCCUUCCAGCCGCACGGUUUGGAGAGAGUCAACCUCGGCGGGGUGCCGCAGGAAUACCUCAACCAAACCGCAUCCAGGAUGGGAGUCCUGGGCUGUUUUCAGACUACAGGUGCGACUGCAGCAGACCGUUUCAUGAACACAGCUGUUCAGAAGAGUUCACUUCAUGGAUGUUCAGUCCUGAGCGCAUCAGGAGCGUUUCCCAUCAUGCAGCAGCACGCCGGUGACGUGAGUGUGUCAGUGUGGCUGAAAUCACGUCAGUUGAAUGGCCUGGUCCUUCAGCUCCAGCGGAGGAAAUCUCAGGGAGGCAAAAGAACAACAGAGCUAAUUAGCCGCGCGGAGCUGACAGAGCGAAGCCAAAUGGCUGCCAUCCAACCCAGCAGAGGAAGGAGACCCAAUGUUCAGCAGGAUCGAUGGAGGAGACCACUUCAUUAAAGAGAGAGAGGCUCUGUUUAAUUAAGUCUGCGCUUCAGGGUCUAACAGCAGCCGUACAGUCACUGCUGUCACUGAUUUGGCCCUUCUCUAGUGUGGCUCUCUUCUCCACACCAGGGGCCUCCUGGAAGUGUAAACGUGUGUGGGAAUUACACUCAUUCUGGUGACCUGAAGCUAUACAUCAGUCUAUAGCGUUGCACCAUGGUAGAUAUGUGCCAGCCUAUGCCUUGUGUCCAUCAGGUUCCAAAAAAAUAAUUACAUCAAAUGAGAUUAAGUAGGCUACUUUCCAUUUAUAAAGUACUGAAGACAACAUGGUCUUAAGUGCAAAUGGAGACACUGUGAACUUGUGUCCUAAUCCAGCGCAAAGCAACAGGUGGAUGUUCAUUUAUGCUUCAAAUAAAUGCUGUUCUCUUCUAUUCA
ensembl:lncRNA